CACUCGAUCCCAUACAUACAGUCAAUCCCACACACACACUCGAUCCCACACACACACUCAAUCCCACACACACUCUCAGCCCCACACACACAUUUAGCCCCACACACACUCUCAGCCCCAUACACACACACAGGCCAAAACGCGUGCCCACCUUCACCUGUGCGCUGCACCUGCCCAGACAUGACACACUGCUGCUGGCCUGCAGAGGACGACUCAUCCACCAGGAUGUGAGCGGGUGCUGGUGCUGCUGCAUCUUCAGCCGUGUGGUUCGCUGCAGCGGCACUGCGAGCUAUCCCAUGAUGCCACAGUGCUGACGGCAGCGGCGUCCAGUCAGGCCGGGGUGGUGGUCAGCGGAGCGGAGGACCAGCUCAUCAGGGUGUGGUGUCUGUCUUCCGGAAAACUCCUGGACACAUUCCAUGGCGUGGGAUCCAGUGUGACGUCGCUAGCUGUCUUCGGGGAGACGGUCGUGUCAGCCUCGGCCUGCUCUGGUCAGCUGAAGGUGUGGCAGUUGAACUCUGACCCCAAGCACAAAGCCAAGAGCUCCGUUCCCGCUAACUGCUCCCUGGUGACGCUGUCCAAAGACGGACAGACGGCGUAUUUUGUGAAGCACGGCAACCGCAAAGAGGUCUUCUCAUGGGA